CUUAAGCAUACUUUAGUCAUGCUCAUAUUUUUGAUUAAUAAUAAAUAUUUUGUGUCAAUAUAUUACUAUUAAAAAAAACCUAAUAAAUUUGAGAAAAUAAGAUAAAAUUGAAGCAUAUUGUAAAAAACACAAAAAUUAACUUUUUUAGAAACUUUAAAUAUUUUGUAUGUAAAUAUUUUAAGAUUUUUAAAUAUCCUUUUGUAGCAGCCCGUGGCGCCAGAACCAGGGGGCAGUUGCCUUUUUGGUCAAAAUACAAGGGAGACAAAAGUAUCAUGCUCCCUCUUAUAGAAUAUGACAAAAAAAAAUUACAAUGAAUCUGGAAAUUAAUAUAACAUUACCAUACUUAAUUAUUUAGCUAUUCAUAUUUAAGAUUAAAAAGUGUUUAUGAAUUUACCUAACUUUAGUUGAAUAUUAAAAAACGGUAGCACAGUGGAGUCGUGGCACAGUAUGGACGUGGCAUAGUAGGGAUAAGUAUAAAUGAUAUUUGACAGUAAUUUUAAAUCAUUAUCAUAAGAAACCUUUCGAUACAAAUCUUUAAAUAGUAUUUAAUUUAAAAAAAAAAUAGUGGAUUAUUCCAAAAACAAAAUUAACUCUUAUUUUUUGUUCUACUUUGACUGCAAUUUGUAUAAAGAAGAUAGGUCGACGAUAGCUUUAAUUUGACAUAUGUUUUAAGAAUCCAGUGUUUCUGGAAAAUUUUUAAAACUUAAGUUGAAAAAGUUGAUUUUUGUAAAAUUUGCUACUUUAAAUCCCCCUCUGUGGGCAGGUAAAGGGUCAGAUUUUCAAAAAAUUAUAUUAAAUAAAAGGAAAAUGUAUAAAGCAUCAAUAAAAAAAAAUUAUUUUGGUUAGUUUAUUAUUCAAUAAGUUAUGGAAGUUUUAAGUACCAAAAUAACAUUGAUUUUUUACACGAAAAUUAUACUUUUUGUUCAAUUUUGGCGGUCAUUUGCAAAUAGAAGAUAGGUCGUCGGGACAAUUUUUUUUAUCUUAUAGUACAUAACGUACUAUUUGCAGAACAUUUUCAAAAUUUAAGUAGAAAAAGUUCUACUUUUUAUACGUAUGUUUCAAGUUUUGAACACUACUUGUAUAAGAAAAAUUGCCUUAUUUGUUGUAAUAUGCCCAAUUCUUUGCACUAUGUAUCUUACAUUUAUCAAUGAAACAUUUAUAAUAUUUAUUUUAUACUACUUGUAUACAAACAAAUAAUUUAUUUAUCUGUCAUAACAUAUACUGUUGUACACUAUUUAUUUUGUAUGUACAUACUUGUUAAAUUAAUAAUUAUAUACUAUGCAUAUUAUAAAAUAAUAAUCAUGUUAUGUUCAAUUUAUUACAAUAAACUGAAAAUCACUAAAAGCACUGACGACAACAUCCCAUGAUGGGGGUAAUUAAUGAUAAUAUAAAGAAGGCCCAGUUCUGCUUACACAUCAGAGAGAGAGAGAGAGAGAGAGAGAGCUAGCAAGCCAGUGAGUUAGUAAGCUGGUGAGCGAGCGUGAUUGCGACCAGCUCUUCUCCACUUUUGAAAUUCUGAAUUCAAGAAGAAUUUUAAAAUCUUUUGUCCAGUUUAUUUCUGUUAACUAGUCGCGACCCCAUGUUGUUGUCGGUACAUUAUAAUGCGAUAUUGAUAUAUUAUUAUUUUGUGUCGAGAUUUUAUUUAUUUAUAUAAAAAAGACAUUAUAGAAUUUUCGUGUGUGCGAAUUAGCACAAUUUAAGUAAUAGUUUCAUUCUUAACAUUUUGACUAUCGACGAUCUUUACACAAGCUAUCAAAAAAGAAGAUGCAGAAUUUCCGGAAUAUUUUCAAAAAUUAAGUUGAAAAAGUUGAGUUCCGUGAUAGCCGUUGUUCGACACACACGUGCGUAUAGUGCGCUCUAAGUUACUAAUCUUACCGUACAACGUGUGUUUCGUUCAUUAGUUCUACACCGGUAAUCAAACAUGCGACUAGUCUAUUUAAUCAUUCUACUUACUCUAUACUUUCAACUGAAGUCUCGUGCACAAUAACAAAGGAAAUAAAUAUUCGUCCUUGAAUAUUGUCAACGUUCUAGCUGUAAUAUUAUCAGUGCUCUAGUGCAUACAGUCUUAUCAGCGGCCGCCUAGGCGGUCUCGUUAUUAUAUAAAAUAAUAAUAUAAUUACGCUAUCGCAACCCAUCGUCGUCUCCAAUUGUACUUAUCGCGAUCGCGAUCGCGACUGCGAUUGUUAUUGUAUUUAUUUAGUAACUUAUUAAUAAUAAUUACAUUCUUAUCAAAAUGACUAGCAGAAACAUCAUCAACAACAACAAUAAUAAUAAUAAAGAUAUUAGUUUAACAAAUAACAUCGUAUCCACGUUAAUAAUUACUAAAAAUAAAACCUCCAACUCAUAACUAGACAUAAGUAAUAAUCAACCAGACGCAGGAUGAGCCAUACAAAAAUCUAAAAGAAAUCUCUACUAAUUCCGAACCAAACUCUCGACGUGUGCAACCUCCCAAAACAAGAAAAAAAUUUUCACUUCAACAAAUCGUUUUGAAGCUCUCACUUCAAACGAAGUUCAAGAUUCUAAUCAGUUGAAGGAUCAAUUCGAUUUCUCGUUCAAUGAUUCUACCGAAAAUAUUACCAUUGACAUACAGACAGUGUGUACAAAUUAUCCACCAAUUAAACCUCCUCCCCCAAUAUUCGUAAGAGGUGUCGACGAUUUUCCGGAACUAUGCAUAGUACUUAUAGAACAAAUCGGUGUUGAAAACAUUGUCUGUAAAUCAUAUGUAAACAGUUUAAAAAUUCAAACCAGCACUCCAGACGCAUAUAUAGGUCACUAAUAAGGUAUUUAAAGGAAGAAAAAGCCGAAUACCACACCUACUUACAACAAGAAAAACUCGUCCCAUUCGUAAUUCGCAACCUGCAUCCAUCAACGCCAACUUGUCUUAUAAAAUCUGAAAUAGAAUUUCGUUAUUUUGAAGUGAGAAAUAUUAGCAAUGUUCUACACAAAACAAAUAAGCACCCAUUGCCACUUUUUUUGUCGAUCUAGAAUCCAGCAAUCAAUCAUAAGAUAUACAAAUUGACAUCUCUAUUACACAUAAAAAUUUAACUAGAAGAACAUUUUAAAGCUAAAAUUAUAAGCCAAUAUCUAAAUUGCCAAAACUACGAUCACACCAAAACGUACUGCUGCUACCCACCACGAUGUGUUCGUUGCGGCGCCUGCCAACCAUCUUCCACCUGUUCAAAUACAUCAACAUGUGUACUCUGUCAAGGGAGCCACCCAGCUAGUUACAAGGGAUGUGCAGUAUACAAGGAUCUCCAACGACGAGGUAUAUAAUAGAAUUUCGGAAAAACAAAUAUUAAAUGUUACACUUCCAUUCCAAUCAUUUUCUGUUCGUUCAACUCUAUACAAUGAAGUUAUACAACAAAAUAUUCCUUUUAAACAAGGUAUUAAUGCUUCUGAAAAUAUUUUGAAAAAAAUUAUUUUACCCUUUUCAAAACAUUUUAUUACAUACUAAUUAAGAAAAAGUCACAUUAUGACUGAAAAUAAUUUUAUUAUAUCUGUUGACCAAUGAACAGUUUUAUAUCCUUCUAUUUCUCAAAUUUAACAUGCAUCAGAGGGUGGUGGCCAUCUUUCAUAUAUUACGGAGUCAAAGAUGGUUCUUGGCUAGGCAAAUUAUGGAUGGGACGGAUUUUAUGGCCAGCUUGCAACAGAGAUCAGUGCAGUAAAUAGCUGAAAAUAUAUCAAAUAAACUUCCGUUUUAGUAUAGUAUAACACUGUAGUAAGUAUUUUAAAUUCUAAGUAAAAUAAUAAUGUCAUAUUAAGGGAAAAUGCAGGGUAAGCAAGUUAACAAUGGUGGGAACAAGGAUAUAUAAAGAGAAACGUUUUUGACAAGAAACGUCUUGUUAUCAAUCAGAAUGAUUUAAUGCGCGAAAUUUUGUAUUUUGAUCUUUCAGAAUGCUGACCCCCCCUGAUCUAUCGACCACCGGACAAGACGAACAUAGUGUUAUCAUCAACACUAACGAGUGUGACGGUUGGCAGCUGAUAAUCACGACCAGAUAACGUAUUAAUUCACAGUAAAUGAAUAGUGAGCUAUUACGGGCCGUGUCAUGAACUUUAUAAAUUACUUGUAAAAAAAUAUCUUAAUUGUUGAAUUAAGUAAUGAACCCAGAUGUUCUACUAUAGUAGUGUAUUUAUUGUUAACAAUACAGAAGCAAUACAAGAAGAACUUUGACUGACUAACAACGCGUGCCAUAUACUACGGUGCAAAGUCUAGCAAGUGCCGCAUGGUCGACGACGACCCACCGCAAAUGAUGCGUAGAGCAUUCUUUCGUCAUCAAAGUGACGUGCGCACGACGGGACUUAACAAACCAAUUCACACCCGCGACCGUCGUCAUCAACGGCAUUAACUUUUUGAGGUCCAAGAACCAUGCUGGACACCGCCAACGCUAUUGAAAGUGCCGCGAUACAAUGCAAAAAUUUUAAUUAAUUGUAUUCCUGUUUUCGGUUUUUUUUUUAAAUAAUCUGUUAUUGCUCAUGAAAAAUAAACGGCCCACGAGUCUCCAUCAUCAAUA